rnacentral:rRNA from 1 species
GGACUACUCGGGUAUCUAAUCCUUCUCGCUCCCCAAGGCUUCGUCCCUCAACGUCAGUUAUUACAUAGAAGAUUGCCUUCGCUGCUAUCCGUCUUACCUGUAUCAAUGCAUUCCAUCGCUCCUCAGGUAAUUCGAUCUUCACCUAUAAAACUCUAGAAAAUUAGUCCCUACUAUGGCUUGAUUUUCCGUCUAGGUACCCUUUAAACCUGUUAAAGAUGAAUAACACUCGUCUUCUACGUAUUACCGCGGCUGCUGGCAC